AGUGAACGCUGGCGGUAGGCCUAACACAUGCAAGUCGAACGGCAGCACAGGAGAGCUUGCUCUCUGGGUGGCGAGUGGCGGACGGGUGAGGAAUACAUCGGAAUCUACCUUUUCGUGGGGGAUAACGUAGGGAAACUUACGCUAAUACCGCAUACGACCUACGGGUGAAAGUGGGGGACCGCAAGGCCUCACGCGAUUAGAUGAGCCGAUGUCCGAUUAGCUAGUUGGCGGGGUAAUGGCCCACCAAGGCGACGAUCGGUAGCUGGUCUGAGAGGAUGAUCAGCCACACUGGAACUGAGACACGGACCAGACUCCUACGGGAGGCAGCAGUGGGGAAUAUUGGACAAUGGGCGCAAGCCUGAUCCAGCCACACCGCGUGGGUGAAGAAGGCCUUCGGGUUGUAAAGCCCUUUUGUUGGGAAAGAAAUCCUGUCGAUUAAUACUCGGUGGGGAUGACGGUACCCAAAGAAUAAGCACCGGCUAACUUCGUGCCAGCAGCCGCAGUAAAAC
rnacentral:rRNA from 1 species